rnacentral:tRNA from 3 species
GGGCUCGUGGUCUAGCUGGUUAUGACAUCGCCUUGACAUGGCGGGGAUCAUGCGUUCGAAUCGCAUCGAGCCCACCA